UCUGGUACCCUGCGAUCCGAGCGUGCUUUCAUAGUUUUAUUCCUAUGAAUUUAAUCGGGUGGACUGGUAGUUUGACUUACGUAAAUAAAUGUGGCUCGCACUCAGAGGCUGAAGCAGUGAGGACCCUCCCUGCGAUGCAUCUGGAGAGUACCUCCAGCUUGUAGGGAUCCCAGUACUACACUGCCUGCUGUCGUCUGAAAACAUGUUUUUCUGGUGUUUGGUAUUUUCUAGGCAAGAAGGUGGCAAGAGGGACUUUGCAGAUUUGAUUCGGUUAAGGAGCCAGAGAUUGAAAGAUUGUCCUGGAUUAUUCGGGUGGAUAGACCCUGUGUAAUUAUGAUGAUAAGAAGGAGGCAGGCGUGUCAGUGUGAGAUGUGAUGACCAGAGCAGAGGUGAGAAAGAGAGAGAAAGAAGAAAAAAAAAGACUUGAAGAUGGAGGAAGGAACGAAGAUCCAAGGUGUAAAGGUAAACUCUAGAAGCUGGAAAGGAAGGAAGAAGAUUUUCCCAUAGAGCCUCCAAAGGAAUGCAACUGCGCCAGCACCUUGAUUUCAUCUAACCUCCAAAACUCAUGCAUUCACAUAUUUUCCUGGCCCAUCACUAUAGUAACUGGGAGAGAGUCCUCAUCCUGAAGGAGCUCAGAGGACACGAAAGCAGAAGCCUGAGAAGCAAGAGCCUACACAGAAGAAAGGAAAAUCUGAGAAACAUUUGAAAUUAAAAUAGUGACCUUCUAUCAACUAUGAGUGAGGCCAUACCAAUUCUAUUGACCAUGAAUAUGUGAAGAUCAAUUUGACAAAGCCAUUGACAGAUUUGCAGAAGUGAAGGCUUAAAGCAGAAAGCACAGUGGAGUUAUUCAUCACCAUCACCAUGGGGAC